rnacentral:rRNA from 1 species
CCUACGGGGGGCUGCAGUGGGGAAUAUUGGACAAUGGGGGGAACCCUGAUCCAGCCAUGCCGCGUGUGUGAAGAAGGCCCUCGGGUUGUAAAGCACUUUCAGUGAGGAAGAACGCCUGGUGGUUAAUACCCAUCAGGAAAGACAUCACUCACAGAAGAAGCACCGGCUAACUCCGUGCCAGCAGCCGCGGUAAUACGGAGGGUGCGAGCGUUAAUCGGAAUUACUGGGCGUAAAGCGCGCGUAGGUGGCUUGAUAAGCCGGUUGUGAAAGCCCCGGGCUCAACCUGGGAACGGCAUCCGGAACUGUCAAGCUAGAGUGCAGGAGAGGAAGGUAGAAUUCCCGGUGUAGCGGUGAAAUGCGUAGAGAUCGGGAGGAAUACCAGUGGCGAAGGUGGCCUUCUGGACUGACACUGACACUGAGGUGCGAAAGCGUGGGUAGCAAACAGGAUUAGAUACCCUAGUAGUC